rnacentral:rRNA from 1 species
GACGAACGCUGGCGGCGUGCUUAACACAUGCAAGUCGAACGGAAAGGCCCUGCUUUUGUGGGGUGCUCGAGUGGCGAACGGGUGAGUAACACGUGAGUAACCUGCCCUUGACUUUGGGAUAACUUCAGGAAACUGGGGCUAAUACCGGAUAGGAGCUCCUGCUGCAUGGUGGGGGUUGGAAAGUUUCGGCGGUUGGGGAUGGACUCGCGGCUUAUCAGCUUGUUGGGGGGGUAGUGGCUUACCAAGGCUUUGACGGGUAGCCGGCCUGAGAGGGUGACCGGCCGCAUUGGGACUGAGAUACGGCCCAGACUCCUACGGGAGGCAGCAGUGGGGAAUAUUGCACAAUGGGCGGAAGCCUGAUGCAGCAACGCCGCGUGCGGGAUGACGGCCUUCGGGUUGUAAACCGCUUUCGCCUGGGACGAAGCGUGAGUGACGGUAAUGGGUAAAGAAGCACCGGCGAACUACG